rnacentral:rRNA from 1 species
AUUGAACGCUGGCGGCAGGCCUAACACAUGCAAGUCGAGCGAGCGGCGGACGGGUGAGUAAUGUAUGGGGAUCUGCCCGAUAGAGGGGGAUAACUACUGGAAACGGUGGCUAAUACCGCAUACUAUCGGAUGAACCCAUAUGGGAUUAGCUAGUGGGUGGGGGAAAGGCUCACCAAGGCGACGAUCCCUAGCUGGUCUGAGAGGAUGAUCAGCCACACUGGAACUGAGACACGGCCCAGACUCCUACGGGAGGCAGCAGUGGGGAAUAUGGCACAAUGGGCGCAAGCCUGAUGCAGCCAUGCCGCGUGUAUGAAGAAGGCCUUCGGGUUGUAAAGUACUUUCAGCGGGGAGGCGUUACCCGCAGAAGAAGCACCGGCUAACUCCGUGCCAGCAGCCGCGGUAAUAC